rnacentral:rRNA from 1 species
CCUACGGGUGGCAGCAGUGAGGCAUAUUGGUCAAUGGGCGCGAGCCUGAACCAGCCAAGUAGCGUGAAGGCUGACUGCCCUACGGGUUGUAAACUUCUUUUAUAAAGGAAUACAGUGAGGCACGUGUCCCUUUUUUUUGGUACUUUAUGAAUAAGGAUCGGCUAACUCCGUGCCAGCAGCCGCGGUAAUACGGCGGACCCAGGCGUUAUCCGGAUUUAUUGGGUUUAAAGGGAGCGUAGAUGGGUUGUUAAGUCAGUUGUGAAAGUUUGCGGCUUAACCGUAAAAUUGCAAUUGAUACUGGCAGCCUUGAGUACAGUUGAGGUAGGCGGAAUUCGUGGUGUAGCGGUGAAAUGCUUAGAUAUCACGAAGAACUCCGAUUGCGAAGGCAGCCUACUAAACUGCCACUGACAUUGAUGCUCGAAAGUGUGGGUAUCAAACAGGAUUAGAUACCCUAGUAGUC